rnacentral:rRNA from 1 species
UGCAGACGAACGGUAACUUGAGUAGCAAUAUUUGAGCAAGAGUGUCGUAAGGGUGCGUAACACGUAUGCAAUCUGCCCUCAACAGGAGGAUAGCUCCCCGAAAGGGGAAUUAACACUCCAUAAGAUCAUAGAAUGGCAUCAUUCAGUGAUUAAAACUACGGUGGUUGAGGAUGAGCAUGCGCAUGAUUAGUUAGUUGGCGGGGUAAUGGCCCACCAAGACGAUGAUCAUUAGGGGAACUGAGAGGUUGAUCCCCCACACUGGCACUGAGAUACGGGCCAGACUCCUACGGGAGGCAGCAGUGGGGAAUCUUGCACAAUGGGCGACAGCCUGAUGCAGCAAUGCCGCGUGAGGGAAGACGGCCUUCGGGUUGUAAACCUCUUUCAGUUGGGAUGAAGGUUGGACGGUGAAUAGCCGCGUCAACUGACCGUACCUUCAGAAGAAGCCCCGGCUAACUACGUGCCAGCAGCCGCGGUAAUACGUAGGGGGCAAGCGUUGUCCGGAAUCAUUGGGCGUAAAGCGCGUGUAGGCGGUUACGUAAGUCUGCUGUGAAAGUCGGAGGCUCAACCUUCGAAUGCCAGUGGAUACUGCGUGACUAGAGUUCGGAAGGGGCAAGUGGAAUUCCUGGUGUAGCGGUGAAAUGCGCAGAUAUC